rnacentral:tRNA from 1 species
GGGCGCUUAGCUCAAAUGGUAGAGCGCCCGCUUCGCAUGCGGGAGGUAGGGGGAUCGAUACCCCCAGUGUCCACAA